CCAGGAAGAUUAGAACCAUGCAACUUGUAGUAGAAGUGCUAUCCAAAUCCAAGAAACCCUCCCCCAGAUUCUGGAUCCAUUACUACAAGGUGCCAUUGCUUCUCUCAGGAAGGAUAGAAUAAUAAAUACUUGUGCUCUCAACAGAAAGAAAAUACUAGAAAUGCAGUUGAAAUCUCUUGGGUCAAACUCACCAAUGGGCUGAUUUUUAAAUUGAGUCAUUCGCUAUCUUCAACAACCGGUUCGCCACGCUGAUCCUCAGAUUUAUUCUCCCAUCUGCUAUUUGUUAGGCAGGGUAGGGACCGGAAGUGUGUAGUGAGCUAUUAAGAUGUGCCCAAAUGAUGUGAAUGUGCUUUCCAUUCACUAUUUUAUUUAAUGCAAACAGCAUCCCUACAGGGUAGGUAUUAGCAUCACAAUUUUACAGAUGAGGAACUUGAGUCUUGGAGAAGUUAAAUAACUGGUCAAGGUUGCCCAAGUGAUAAAUAGCACAGCAGGUGCCUCACCUCAGUGGUCAUGCCUCCAAAGUGCAUGGCAAUUCAACCCCCAAAUGUAUAUGUAAAUCACUAAGCAAUAAAUAUUUAGUAGGCACCUGUUAUAUGAUAGCACUAUGCCAGGACCUGGCCGCCAAUCCUUGCCUUCAAGGACAACGAGCAACAGCGAGAGAAAUGGGUUUUAUGUAAGAUGGGGGUGGGGUGUGCCUGGCAACAUCACCACUACAACAGGCCACUUGGAUUCAGAGGAUGCAGAGGAGAAGGGAAAGUUUGCAGAGAACCGGAUGGCUGCAGGGGUGUUGUGAGACUGACAGGGAAAGUGGAAGAGGCCGUGCAGUUUCACUCAGAGAAGCCCACAUUUGCUUCUCUGUGCCAUCUUUGAGGCCCUGGUUUAAUUCUCACUAUUAUCAGUGAAGCAUUCUCUUUAUGAACAGUGGACUGUUUUGAGGCUGGGGAAGAGCAUGGUACCAAAGAAGACUGAACUCCCCUCGAGGAACUGAGCAGGAGAGGUACACGAAGCUAGGUGUCCCCUUUGUCCCCAGGGAAACACGUGUCCUCAUGGAAUGUUUUGUGUCUCCACAUCCUGUCUUCCCACAGCAUCCUCUGCAUGGCCUAUCUUAACACUUCAUUACCUGCAUGUCCUUUCUAGGUCUGACUCCUUGCUCCUGUGAGUGUGCGCGUAUACUGCUGGGAGCCAUUAGCCAAGUAGGUAUGACAAUUUCCUUGCCAGCGUACCCCAUGUUGCUGACAUUUGCAGUGACAUUGAAUGUAGGUGACCUUGCUCAAGGACCAAGGCGGAUUAGGGUGUUCCCGGUUUAAGAUAAUUGGGUUUAGGGCGUUCCAGGUUUAAGAUUAUUCCUCCUGGGAAUAGGGCGUAUCCUGCUGCCUGAGUUCCCCUUGAGUUCUCACGGGAUUUAGACAGUAUUUUUGGGGAGACAGAUGCCCAGUGGAGGUGAUUUUGGGCAGAGAAAGUGGAUUUGGGCAGAGAACUUGGAUUUCCCCAGAACGUGAUUGUAGACGGCUGGUGUGAGUUCGGGAAUAAAGAGUUGCU
rnacentral:lncRNA from 1 species